rnacentral:rRNA from 1 species
UACGGAGGGUGCAAGCGUUGUCCGGAAUCACUGGGCGUAAAGGGCGCGUAGGCGGCUCAUGAAGGCUGUGGUGAAAGUCCGGGGCUCAACCUCGGAUCGGCCGUGGCGACUCGUGGGCUGGAGCACUGUAGAGGCGGGUGGAAUUCCGGGUGUAGCGGUGGAAUGCGCAGAUAUCAGGAGGAACACCGAUGGCGAAGGCAGGUCACUGGGCCGCAACUGACGCUGAGGAGCGAAAGCAUGGGGAGCGAACAGG